rnacentral:rRNA from 1 species
CGGCUAACUACGUGCCAGCAGCCGCGGUAAUACGUAGGGUGCGAGCGUUAAUCGGAAUUACUGGGCGUAAAGCGUGCGCAGGCGGUUUGGUAAGACCGAUGUGAAAUCCCCGGGCUUAACCUGGGAACUGCAGUGGUGACUGGCAGGCUUGAGUAUGGCAGAGGGGGGUAGAAUUCCACGUGUAGCAGUGAAAUGCGUAGAGAUGUGGAGGAAUACCGAUGGCGAAGGCAGCCCCCUGGGCCAAUACUGACGCUCAUGCACGAAAGCGUGGGGAGCAAACAGGAUUAGAUACCCUUGUAGUC